rnacentral:lncRNA from 1 species
ACCUGAUACAGCCUAUUGGUGUUCGGGGAUUGCAUAGCUCACCUCGGGGAUACGCUGUUUGAGCCGAGCGUCAUCACAGCAACUCUCUGCGACUCUCCCGCCGAAUGCGUACAACGCAACUGCGCAACGCUGGUUUCAGGAAAUGAAUAAAAAUCCCGGAAAUACCAAGGGCUUUUUGGCUUCGAAUCUGUAUACAGGAGGGAGGCAGAACCAAGUUGACCAUAUAUUCUAUGGUAACAACCAUAGUCACAACCAUGCAGUCCAUGGUCACAACAGCCACUAUAAGAUGGCAGAUGGGGUGUCUGUACAGAAAACAAGCGCCUAAACAGUAUGGCCCUCAUUUAUCAAUCUUGCGUGGACCUGAGCGCAGAUCUGAGCGCAGGAUUCAUCCUACAAAAGGACACAUGUAAGAUUUAUGUAAGGGUUCGUAUCUGACCAAUCCCAGCUUAUGUACAAUCGUCAUUAACAUGUUUACACCCUUAAAUAUUUGUGGUUCAGAAGCCUCGCCCACUGAGGUCAAACAUGAAAGAGGAGAAAUAUUAGAAAGAUUCCAAACUUUUCUGAGCUGAAAGUGGAUAUCCUCACAUCUGUGGUGGAAACUAACAAGGAUUUGCUCUUUGGAAGCAUCAAAACUGGUAUAAAAGCAGUCCAGAAAACUCCUGUCUGGAGCAGGAUUAUGGUGGCGCUGAACAGCACUGCCGCGGAAUAGCGGACAGUGGCUGAAGUUUGAAUAAAUCAUUAGUCAAUAAGUUGCUAUUGAUGAUAAAUUAUCUUAUAAAUGCCUCAUAUUUUUUAUUGGUAUGACAUAGGGUACGUUGCUCCUAUUAUUCAAAGUAUUUAGUUUUAAUUUGUUGCGUCUGUAAUGUAGAGCAGACCGGAGAGUCUGACAGAGGCUGAACAAAAGUAAUUAUUGACAUCACUAAACUGUGUGUUGCUGCCCCUGAGGCACAUUUUUAUGGAUUUCUAUUGGAUUUUUAUUACUGAUUUAAUAGCAAGAGCACUUUCUAAACUUAUACUUCACAUCAGAAUCCAUGGAUAAGGUCCUGUCUCCUCUGUGCAGCACCUUUGUGGAGUCUCUCCUCGUUAUUGUUCUCCGGGCAUUGGGUCCUGGCACAGCCAACGGCACUCCAUUCGCCAGAGCAACAUUGUGCAAAACUGUACUAACCGAAAUGAUGUCUCACACCCUUUCAGGAGUGCACAACAACGUCCCUGCUGCUGGACCAAGACAGAGACACCUGCCUUUUAGGAGUCAAAUGCAGCGCUCCACAGUAGCGCGUGUGCGUGCAAUGUUAAAACAGCACUCCUGCUCUGUGGCAGUGUUUCUGGGCAGAGUUAUCGAAUAGGCCUAUUCACCAAGAACAUAACAAAUUUAUUUUAUUUUAUUUUAUCUACGUCUUAAUCUUUAAUGAACUCUGGCUGAUUGUGCUUAAUGACAGGUUUGAGGUUUGUUUAUCAAUUAUUUUCAGACAGACAUUUGCUGCACCACAGAUCCACACUGACUCAAACUUGCGUACACGAUGUCAGACCUGUCGUAAGAUUUGGUCGUAGCGUAUGCUAACAUGCAAAUUGAUAAAUGCCGAUCCUCACAUCAAAAUUGUCAUACAAAAGGUGUACGCACGUUUUCUGCCGUACGCAAGCUUGAUAAAUGAGGGCCUAUAUUUCUAAAAGGCACCAGUAAAGGCAGAGUGACUGCACUGUUUCGCCUUUUAAGUGUUUUUAAACUACAAUAAUUUUAGCUGAAUCUUUUUGAAUGUUAAAUAAUUAUUGUUUCUCUGUGUCUUGUGUGUAGUAAACAUCCAGGGUCUGGACAUCGAGAUGGUGGAGUCCUACAGAUUCCUGGGUGUCCACCUCAACAAUAAACUGGACUGGUCAACAAACACAGACGUCCUGUACAAGAAGGGCCAAAGUCGUCUCCACCUGCUGAGGAGACUGAGGUCCUUUGGAGUGUGCAGGACUCUGCUCAGGACUUUCUAUGACUCUGUGGUAGCAUCUGCACUUUUCUAUGCAGUGGUCUGCUGGGGGGCAGGGAGCACCGAGAGGGACAGGAAGAGACUUAAUAGACUGGUCAGGAGGGCCAGUUCUGUCCUGGACUGUUCUUUGGACUCCCUGGAGGAGGUGGGUGAGAGGAGGAUGUUAGCAAAGCUUGUAUCCAUCAU